rnacentral:rRNA from 1 species
AUUGAACGCUGGCGGCAUGCCUUACACAUGCAAGUCGAACGGUAACGCGGGGCAACCUGGCGACGAGUGGCGAACGGGUGAGUAACGCAUCGGAACGUGCCCAAUAGUGGGGGAUAGCCCGGCGAAAGCCGGAUUAAUACCGCAUACGACCUACGGGUGAAAGCAGGGGAUCGCAAGACCUUGCGCUAAUGGAGCGGCCGAUGUCAGAUUAGGUUGUUGGUGGGGUAAAAGCCCACCAAGCCGACGAUCUGUAGCUGGUCUGAGAGGACGACCAGCCACACUGGGACUGAGACACGGCCCAGACUCCUACGGGAGGCAGCAGUGGGGAAUUUUGGACAAUGGGCGCAAGCCUGAUCCAGCCAUGCCGCGUGCGGGAUGAAGGCCUUCGGGUUGUAAACCGCUUUUGUUAGGGAAGAAAUCUUUUGAGCUAAUACCUCGGAAGGAUGACGGUACCUAAAGAAUAAGCACCGGCUAACUACGUGCCAGCCGCCGCAGUAAGAC